rnacentral:rRNA from 1 species
GACAGAGGGUGCAAACGUUGUUCGGAAUUACUGGGCGUAAAGCGUGUGUAGGCGGUCGACUAAGUCGGGUGUGAAAGCCCUGGGCUCAACCCAGGAAGUGCACUCGAAACUGGCCGGCUAGAGUAUCGGAGAGGUUGGUGGAAUUCUCGGUGUAGAGGUGAAAUUCGUAGAUAUCGAGAGGAACACCGGUGGCGAAAGGCGGCCAACUGGGACGAAUACUGACGCUGAGACACGAAAGCGUGGGGAGCAAACAGG